ensembl:lncRNA
UUGAUACUUAUGAUAGUCUGACAUAAUUAUUUGAAUAUAUUAUUGAAAGAUUAUUUUCAUAAAAGGGCACACUGUCCUGGGCAGCUGCAGUAGCUAACGGCUUGAUCCUUUUAUACUGGAAUGGCAGAUUGGCUCUUGAGGUUAAGGAAGAAGGAAACAUUCCUGUGGGUGGAGGUGCCUAAGGAAGGCAUCCUCUCACAUUGGGUUCAAAGCCAAGAUCUUUGCUCCGUGAAGUCCUAUUUUCAUGGGGUUGAGACAAAAACCCCAUUUACAGAUGAAAUUGUUGCUCAUGCUGGCAAACUGAAGCAAACUGACUGCCUGGAGAUGGUGUGCUUUGUUAAUUCAGCAUCAAGCUGUUGUCCUGGAGGGGGAAAUAUCUCUCUCUACCUCUUUCUGGUCAUCUCGUGGCUGAACUAAUAAUAAAACUGGUACAAGACAGAGUAACAGGAGGAAAACAAAUUUUAAUUAAUUUGUGUGGAGGUCUGGUGGAAAAUGAACCUAAGAAGUGGUCAAGGCAGGCAACUUUUGUACUUUUUAGACAAAGAACC